CAUUCUUACUUUCUUAAAAGAUAGACCAAUAGUUGAGGUGGAUGAAUUGGAUGAUGUUAAGAAUUCCAUCUGCCUUCUACCUUUGAGGCAGAGUUUGGACUCCCAAAGUCCCCAGUCCUAGGUCAGUUCAGGGAAUAAGGAAAUAAAUUGAGUAGUGUCUGAGUUCAUGAUUCUCAUCGUGUGCAAAUCACACCACAGAGAGGAAGAAAAUGCAAAGAAGCUAAGAGCCAAGGAUAUAUUAAUAGUUAACACCUAAGAGAAGCGCACCUCCUUAUUUCCAAAUUGCAAUGGCUUAACUAAGACAGAAGUAGGAGCUGCUUAUUUAACCAAUCUGUUCUGACUGUAUCAGUGUGACCAAACACAGUCUUUAGAACAAUGGAUUAUGCCUCCAUAUCCGGGCCUUCAAUCAUGGCUAAUAGGGGACCCAGCUACUGCAUGCUGCUGAAGAAAGAUGUGACCUCAACUCAAACUGUUGAAAUUUGGUAGUCUACUCCUGGGAAUUAA